rnacentral:rRNA from 1 species
AUGAACGCUGGCGGCGUGCUUAACACAUGCAAGUCGAACGAGAAGUGAAGACGGAAACCUUCGGGCGGAAGGCUUUAUUUCGAGUGGCGGACGGGUGAGUAACGCGUGGGUAACCUGCCUCAUACAGGGGGAUAACAGUUGGAAACGACUGUUAAUACCGCAUAAGACCACAGCACCGCAUGGUGCGGGGGUAAAAACUCCGGUGGUAUGAGAUGGACCCGCGUUCGAUUAGCCAGUUGGCGGGGUAACGGCCCACCAAAGCGACGAUCGAUAGCCGAUCUGAGAGGAUGACUGGCCACAUUGGGACUGAGACACGGCCCAAACUCCUACGGGAGGCAGCAGUGGGGAAUAUUGCACAAUGGGGGAAACCCUGAUGCAGCGACGCCGCGUGAGUGAAGAAGUAUUUCGGUAUGUAAAGCUCUAUCAGCAGGGAAGAAAAUGACGGUACCUGAGUAAGAAGCCCCGGCUAACUACGUG